GCUGGGCGCGGUGGUGUGUGCCUGUAGUCCCAGCUACUCCGGAGGCUGAGGUGGGAGGAUCGCUUGAGCCCAGGAGUUCUGCACUUACAGUGCACUAUGCUCAUCAGGUGUCCACAUUAAGUUUGGCAUCAAUAUGGUGACCUCCCGGGACCGAGGGACCACCAGGUUGCCAGAGGAGGGGUGAACCAGCCCAGGUCGAAAAUGGAGCAGGUCAAAACUACCGUGCUGAUCAGUAGUGGGUUUGUGCCUGUGAAUAGCCACUGCACUCCAGCCUGGGCAACGUAGUGAGACCCCCAUCUCU
rnacentral:SRP_RNA from 1 species